rnacentral:lncRNA from 1 species
AGUGCUCCAUCCGUACCCAGUGCGGGGCCCGCCCGUCGCCUGCGUAGCUUCGCAAAAUUUCGCAAACAUUCCUCGUUCACCGGCAGGCGCCCUAAGUGCUACGAAGGUCGUAACACAUCCAGCUUCAGAAGAAUAGCAUGUAGACGUGUUGUUGGACUGCCACUGAACAAAAUCUUAAACAAACGGACCUUCGUCGAACUCUCGACCAUCAGAAACUGUCAUGUCGCGAAGGCGCUUGUCUCAAUAACCACUUGUUAGCACGUGUCAUUAGCUCACUGUUAAUAAAUCAUUCUCAUUUCGCUUCCUACCACCUUUCAACUAUACCACGUCUGCCACCGCCGCCGCCAUGGAGCCAGC